rnacentral:tRNA from 1 species
UCGCCGAGAUGCUGAAGGACAGCAGGGGCGGUUCGGCGGACAGCGAGGCGAGGGAUGUCACGGUCACGCCCGCGGGGCCGCGUCCCGCGUCGGCGGUC